UACGUAGGGUGCAAGCGUUGUCCGGAAUUAUUGGGCGUAAAGAGCUCGUAGGCGGUCUGUCGCGUCUGCUGUGAAAACUCAGGGCUUAACCCUGAGCUUGCAGUGGGUACGGGCAGACUAGAGUGCGGUAGGGGAGACUGGAAUUCCUGGUGUAGCGGUGAAAUGCGCAGAUAUCAGGAGGGAACACCGGUGGCGAAGGCGGGUCUCUGGGCCGAUACUGAC
rnacentral:rRNA from 1 species